UACGAAGGGGGCUAGCGUUGUUCGGAAUUACUGGGCGUAAAGCGAACGUAGGCGGUGUUCCAUGUCAGAGGUGAAAGCCUGGGGCUCAACUCCAGAAUUGCCUUUGAAACGGGGACGCUUGAGUCUGAGAGAGGAUGGCGGAAUUCCUAGUGUAGAGGUGAAAUUCGUAGAUAUUAGGAAGAACACCGGUGGCGAAGGCGGCCAUCUGGCUCGGUACUGACGCUCAGGUUCGAAAGCGUGGGGAGCAAACAGG
rnacentral:rRNA from 1 species